rnacentral:misc_RNA from 1 species
UCUCCGUAGGUGAACCUGCGGAGGGAUCAUUACAGAGUUCAUGCCCUACCGGGUAGAUCUCCCACCCUAUGUUAUUAUUACUUUGCUGCUUUGGCGGGCCGUUAGGCUCCGGCCCGACUACCGGCCCCGGCUGGUAAGCGCCCGCCAGAGGACCCAAAACCCUGAAUAUUAGUGUCGUCUGAGUACUAUAUAAUAGUUAAAACUUUCAACAACGGAUCUCUUGGUUCUGGCAUCGAUGAAGAACCAGC